rnacentral:rRNA from 1 species
UACGUAGGGGGCAAGCGUUGUCCGGAAUCAUUGGGCGUAAGGCGCGUGUAGGCGGUUCGGUAAGUCUGCUGUGAAAGUCCAGGGCUCAACCCUGGGAUGCCGGUGGAUACUGUCGGACUAGAGUACGGAAGAGGCGAGUGGAAUUCCUGGUGUAGCGGUGAAAUGCGCAGAUAUCAGGAGGAACACCGUGGCGAAGGCGGUCUCUGGGCGUAACUGACGCUGAGGAGCGAAGACGUGGGGAGCAAACAGGAUUAGAACU